rfam:Heterobasidion irregulare TC 32-1 unplaced genomic scaffold scaffold_01, whole genome shotgun sequence.
GCCCGCCUAGCUCAAUCGGAUAGAGCGUCAGACUCUUAUAGGCGGGUAUCUGAAGGCUGCGAGUUCGACCCUCGCGGUGGGCU